rnacentral:rRNA from 1 species
CUCCAUGUGUAGCGGUGGAAUGCGUAGAUAUAUGGAAGAACACCAGUGGCGAAGGCGGCUCUCUGGUCUGCAACUGACGCUGAGGCUCGAAAGCAUGGGUAGCGAACAGGAUUAGAUACCCUGGUAGUCCAUGCCGUAAACGAUGAGUGCUAAGUGUUGGGAGGUUUCCGCCUCUCAGUGCUGCGGCUAACGCAUUAAGCACUCCGCCUGGGGAGUACGACCGCAAGGUUGAAACUCAAAGGAAUUGACGGGGGCCCGCACAAGCGGUGGAGCAUGUGGUUUAAUUCGAAGCAACGCGAAGAACCUUACCAGGUCUUGACAUCCAGUGCAAACCUAAGAGAUUAGGUGUUCCCUUCGGGGACGCUGAGAC